AUGCACGCUGGCGGCGUGCCUAAUACCUGCCAGUCGAGCGAACAGAUGAGGAGCUUGCUCCUCUGACGUUAGCGGCGGACGGGCGAGUAACACGUGGAUAACCUACCUAUAAGACUGGGAUAACUUCGGGAAACCGGAGCUAAUACCGGAUAAUAUAUUGAACCGCAUGGUUCAAUAGUGAAAGACGGUCUUGCUGUCACUUAUAGAUGGAUCCGCGCCGCAUUAGCUAGUUGGUAAGGUAACGGCUUACCAAGGCAACGAUGCGUAGCCGACCUGAGAGGGUGAUCGGCCACACUGGAACUGAGACACGGUCCAGACUCCUACGGGAGGCAGCAGUAGGGAAUCUUCCGCAAUGGGCGAAAGCCUGACGGAGCAACGCCGCGUGAGUGAUGAAGUUCUUCGGAUCGUAAAACUCUGUUAUUAGGGAAGAACAAAUGUGUAAGUAACUAUGCACGUCUUGACGGUACCUAAUCAGAAAGCCACGGCUAACUACGUG
rnacentral:rRNA from 1 species